UACGUAGGUGUCAAGCGUUGUCCGGAUUUAUUGGGCGUAAAGCGCCCGCAGGCGGCUUGCCAAGUUCGAUGUGAAAUCUCCCGGCUCAACUGGGAGGGUGCAUCGAAAACUGGCAGGCUUGAGGCAGGGAGAGGGAUGUGGAAUACCCGGUGGAGCGGUGAAAUGCGUAGAGAUCGGGUGGAACACCAGGGGCGAAGGCGGCAUCCUGGCUCUGUUCUGACGCUGAGGCGCGAGAGCGUGGGGAGCAAACCGG
rnacentral:rRNA from 1 species